CAUUUUUUCAAGACUUUAAAUUCCUCUCACAAGUGGCAAGCGUACCUUGACAAAAAUGUUAAUGCGACAUUUGUUUGACUUCAACUUUUGAAAGUGGUGCGAAAUCGCGGUGAGGAAAUGAUUUUACCCAUUCAAGUAUGGUAUCGUAACUUUUGAAAGGAAACUACAUACCUAUUUUUAGUAGUGCUCAGUGUAGUUUGGAAUAUAAAAUGUGUAUAAAAAUAAUACUAGAUUGAGUGACGAAGGUGUAGGUUAGGUUUAGGUUUCCUCGAACCCUGGUGAUGGCAGCUGUUGUUAAAUUCUGGUGUCACAAACAGAUUCUGACGAAGUUGUGUUUAUGACCAGCUCUGUCUCCAGCCUAGGCAGCUAGGAUCUGAGUGGAGGAAGUGGGUGGUCGCGUCUUGGAGGAAGGAUCUUGGCUGUGGCAGGGAAACCUGGAAGCGGUGUUGCGCCUGAGAACUCUGCCCACUGCUCUCCUUUGAACAUCGUCUUGAGGUUGAAGAAUGCUGGUGAAACAAGAACACAGGGACUUCGAAUAAUGAGUCUGGUGGAUGAAUACAACUGUGUUUGGUUCGUGUUGAUGAAGAAAUUGUCUUUCUUCAUUGGUGUUGGCUUGCAAGUGACCCAAUUUCCCUUGGCCAACGACCUGGUACGGACUACUACUGUCAUUCUGCCAUACAAGGAAAACCUGCCACAUCUUUGAUGCAUUUUACCUGGCUGCAUAAAGGCUUGAUAAUUAGCUUCGUUACUCCCGCAGUAAGAGAUUGUUUGUUCCCAAC